GUGGGGAAUCUUGCGCAAUGGGCGAAAGCCUGACGCAGCCAUGCCGCGUGGAUGAUGAAGGUCUUAGGAUUGUAAAAUCCUUUCACCGGUGAAGAUAAUGACUGUAGCCGGAGAAGAAGCCCCGGCUAACUUCGUGCCAGCAGCCGCGGUAAUACGAAGGGGGCUAGCGUUGCUCGGAUUUACUGGGCGUAAAGGGCGCGUAGGCGGACAUUUAAGUCAGGGGUGAAAUCCCGGGGCUCAACCUCGGAACUGCCUUUGAUACUGGGUGUCUUGAGUAUGAGAGAGGUGGGUGGAACUCCGAGUGUAGAGGUGAAAUUCGUAGAUAUUCGGAAGAACACCAGUGGCGAAGGCGACACACUGGCUCAUUACUGACGCUGAGGCGCGAAAGCGUGGGGAGCAAACAGGAUUAGAUACCCGUGUAGUCC
rnacentral:rRNA from 1 species